rnacentral:rRNA from 1 species
ACUACGGGGCGCAGCAGUGGGGAAUAUUGCACAAUGGGCGCAAGCCUGAUGCAGCCAUGCCGCGUGUGUGAAGAAGGCCUUCGGGUUGUAAAGCACUUUCAGCGGGGAGGAAGGCGGUGAGGUUAAUAACCUCAUCGAUUGACGUUACCCGCAGAAGAAGCACCGGCUAACUCCGUGCCAGCAGCCGCGGUAAUACGGAGGGUGCAAGCGUUAAUCGGAAUUACUGGGCGUAAAGCGCACGCAGGCGGUCUGUCAAGUCGGAUGUGAAAUCCCCGGGCUCAACCUGGGAACUGCAUUCGAAACUGGCAGGCUAGAGUCUUGUAGAGGGGGGUAGAAUUCCAGGUGUAGCGGUGAAAUGCGUAGAGAUCUGGAGGAAUACCGGUGGCGAAGGCGGCCCCCUGGACAAAGACUGACGCUCAGGUGCGAUAGCGUGGGGAGCAAACAGGAUUAGAUACCCGAUAGUC